GGAAGGAUCAUUACCGAAUUGUCAACAUGAAGUUGUUGCUGGCCCUCAAAUGGGGGCAUGUGCACACUCUGUUUACACAUCCACUCACACCUGUGCACUCUCUGUAGUACUGUGGUCUGGGGGUUCUGUCCUCCUACUGUGGUUCUGCGUAUUUAUACACACACACUGUAAUAAAGUUUCAUGGAAUGUAUGCCGCGUUUAACGCAAUGAAAUACAACUUUCAGCAACGGAUCUCUUGGCUCUCGCAUCGAUGAAGAACGCAGCGAAAUGCGAUAAGUAAUGUGAAUUGCAGAAUUCAGUGAAUCAUCGAAUCUUUGAACGCACCUUGCGCCCUUUGGCUAUUCCGAAGGGCAUGCCUGUUUGAGUAUCAUGAACACCUCAACUCUCAUGGCUUGCCACGAUGAGCUUGGACUUGGGGGGUUUUGCUGGCCUACAGUCAGCUCCCCUCAAAUGCAUUAGCUUUCCAGCAUUUGGUGGCAUCACAGGUGUGAUAAACAUCUACACGUGUGGUUCCCCACCAUGUAACCUUCAGUGAUGGAGGUUCACUGGAGCUCACAAAUGUCUUUCCUCAGUGAAGACAGUUCUUUGAUUGUUUGAUCUCAAAUCAGGUAGGACUACCCGCUGAACUUAAGCAUAUCAAUAA
rnacentral:sRNA from 1 species